UGUGGUGACGGGUCAAGACUGUUUCCUGUGAUUCAAUGCGUCUUGACCCCUCGCUGCAUG
rnacentral:pre_miRNA from 1 species